rnacentral:rRNA from 1 species
UACAGAGGUCUCAACCGUUGUUCGGAUUCAUUGGGCGUAAAGGGUGCGUAGGCGGCGGGGUAAGUCAGGUGUGAAAUCUCGGGGCUCAACCCCGAAACUGCACUUGAUACUGCCUCGCUUGAGUACUGGAGAGGAGACUGGAAUUUACGGUGUAGCAGUGAAAUGCGUAGAUAUCGUAAGGAAGACCAGUGGCGAAGGCGAGUCUCUGGACAGCAACUGACGCUGAGGCACGAAGGCCAGGGGAGCAAACGGG